rnacentral:lncRNA from 1 species
GAAUCCUAUUUUUGUUCUUCCACCCAUGCAAUAGAGAGCGAAUGAGAAAAGAGGGGUUAUUGUUCCCUUAAAAGAGAGGCUUUGAAAUAGGAAUCAUGGAAUAAUGCUGAAUUCAAAUAUUUAUUUCUUUAUUUCUAUAGUGUAAGAAAAAUAAAUUGAAUGAAAUUCGUGGAUUUACCACGACCUUGGUUGUGACCCCAUAGAUAAAAAUGCAAAAUUUCUAUCUUCGAGACCAUUGAAAAAGGGCAUUGAACGAGAAAGAAAUCGUCCACAGAUAAUCAAACUAUCGUAUGCCCUGGAAGUAAUAUGAGGUGCUCGGAAAUGAU